UAGAGUUUGAUCCUGGCUCAGAUUGAACGCUGGCGGCAGGCUUAACACAUGCAAGUCGAGCGGUAGCACAAGGGAGCUUGCUCCCUGGGUGACGAGCGGCGGACGGGUGAGUAAUGUCUGGGAAACUGCCUGAUGGAGGGGGAUAACUACUGGAAACGGUAGCUAAUACCGCAUAACGUCGCAAGACCAAAGAGGGGGACCUUCGGGCCUCUUGCCAUCAGAUGUGCCCAGAUGGGAUUAGCUAGUAGGUGGGGUAAUGGCUCACCUAGGCGACGAUCCCUAGCUGGUCUGAGAGGAUGACCAGCCACACUGGAACUGAGACACGGUCCAGACUCCUACGGGAGGCAGCAGUGGGGAAUAUUGCACAACGGGCGCAAGCCUGAUGCAGCCAUGCCGCGUGUGUGAAGAAGGCCUUCGGGUUGUAAAGCACUUUCAGCGAGGAGGAAGGUGGUGAACUUAAUACGUUCAUCAAUUGACGUUACUCGCAGAAGAAGCACCGGCUAACUCCGUGCCAGCAGCCGCGGUAAUACGGAGGGUGCAAGCGUUAAUCGGAAUUACUGGGCGUAAAGCGCACGCAGGCGGUUUGUUAAGUCAGAUGUGAAAUCCCCGGGCUCAACCUGGGAACUGCAUUUGAAACUGGCAAGCUAGAGUCUCGUAGAGGGGGGUAGAAUUCCAGGUGUAGCGGUGAAAUGCGUAGAGAUCUGGAGGAAUACCGUGUAGCGGUGAAAUGCGUAGAGAUCUGGAGGAAUACCGGUGGCGAAGGCGGCCCCCUGCACGAAGACUGACGCUCAGUGCGAAAGCGUGGGGAGCAAACAGGAUUAGAUACCCUGUAGUCCACGCUGUAAACGAUGUCGAUUUGGAGGUGUGCCCUUGAGCGUGGCUUCCGGAGCUAACGCGUUAAAUCGACCGCCUGGGGAGUACGGCCGCAAGGUUAAACUCAAAUGAAUUGACGGGGCCCGCACAAGCGGUGGGGCAUGUGGUUUAAUUCGAUGCACGCGAAGAACCUUACCUACCUCUUGACA
rnacentral:rRNA from 1 species